GGAGUUGUAGCUCAGUGGUAGAGAGCUUGCCUCAAAAGUGUGAGGCACUGGGUUCAAUCCUCAGCACCA
rnacentral:tRNA from 1 species